CCUACGGGUGGCAGCAGUGAGGAAUAUUGGUCAAUGGGCGGAAGCCUGAACCAGCCAAGUAGCGUGCGGGAUGACGGCCCUACGGGUUGUAAACCGCUUUUGCACGGGGAUAACACCCUCCACUUGUGGAUGUCUGCAGGUACCGUGCGAAUAAGGGCCGGCUAAUUCCGUGCCAGCAGCCGCGGUAAUACGGAAGGCCCGAGCGUUAUCCGGUUUCAUUGGGCUUAAAGGGAGCGUAGGCGGGCGUUCAAGUCAGCUGUAAAAUGCUGCGGCUCAACCGGGCACCGCAGUGGAGACUGGACGCCUUGAGUUCACGACAGGCAGGCGGAAUUCGUGGUGUAGCGGUGAAAUGCAUAGAUAUCACGAGGAACCCCGAUUGCGAAGGCAGCCUGCCGGGGUGCGACUGACGCUGAGGCUCGAAAGUGCGGGUAUCAAACAGGAUUAGAUACCCUUGUAGUC
rnacentral:rRNA from 1 species